AGGACCAGAGAGGAUCAACCACUUGCCUCAGGUCACACAGAUCUACAUUUAGAAAGCACUGGUUGUCUGCAGUUCAUUUGGUCCCUGUGAUGCCUGUGGCAUCUGUUUCCUAUUUCACAGAGUGGUUAUAAGGAUUACGUGAGUUAAUACAUGUAACGAGCUUAGAACGGUGCCUGGCAUAAUAAGUUCUAUGUCCCAGCUCCUCAAGAGCCAACAUUGUUUUCUUCUGCCUCAGCUAAGUGCCUUGGGGGUCACAUGGAGCCAGUGGUGUUCAGAGAAGCUAGACCCUAAGAGCCAGUCCCUGUGGCCAACGAUAGUGGAACCAGUGGAGGGGUGACUUCUGCGAGAUGUGAGGAUGGACGCAGAGUCUGAUUCAGCAGAUUAGGGCCGAUCCUGCAGAGAAUAACUCUCUCCUGCCUCAUCAUAUUUCUCUUCUGGGAUCCCCUGGGACAUAUGAUAGAGGUAGGAAUCAGUGUGAGCUGCUGGUUUAUACCAAGGAAAAAAAAUAAAGCUGAGAGAGGGUGAGGAUUAACAACAACAACAAAACAGAUCGCUGCAGGACAGUCUAGUAUAUAUGUGCGUAUGGAAUGGAGAGGAAAGCUGAGACAGG